rnacentral:misc_RNA from 1 species
CUGAUGUGCCUUGCAGUGAAUGAAACAGUUAGUAUUCUUCCCCUUGUUUCAUCGCAUGAAAGUUCUAGUUGCCGGGAGUAUGCGAUCAUUUCUUGUUUUUAAAAUUUGCAAGAAUAUCAUACUAUUAACAUACGCCUACAACCAUGACGUUGUAAUUCCAAAAAUGAAGCUAAGAAAGGCAAACAAAGAUGGCAGAUCAAACAUAUUUUUUUGAGAAAUGCUCUUAAUGUGAUUGAAUUAAAAUUUUCCUUUCCCCUCAUUCCUAAACACUUUUUCUGUUUUUAAAUCUUUGCUGUGGACAGCCAGAG